rnacentral:rRNA from 1 species
CGACCGCUGGCGGCGUGCUUAACACAUGCAAGUCGAACGGAAAGGCCCUGCUUUUGUGGGGUGCUCGAGUGGCGAACGGGUGAGUAACACGUGAGUAACCUGCCCUUGACUUUGGGAUAACUUCAGGAAACUGGGGCUAAUACCGGAUAGGAGCUCCUGCUGCAUGGUGGGGGUUGGAAAGUUUCGGCGGUUGGGGAUGGACUCGCGGCUUAUCAGCUUGUUGGUGGGGUAGUGGCUUACCAAGGCUUUGACGGGUAGCCGGCCUGAGAGGGUGACCGGCCACAUUGGGACUGAGAUACGGCCCAGACUCCUACGGGAGGCAGCAGUGGGGAAUAUUGCACAAUGGGCGGAAGCCUGAUGCAGCAACGCCGCGUGCGGGAUGACGGCCUUCGGGUUGUAAACCGCUUUCGCCUGUGACGAAGCGCGAGUGACGGUAAUGGGUAAAGAAGCACCGGCUAACUACGUG